GCAGCUGGGUCCAUGUGAAUCACGCAGUCUUGCAGGCGUGAAAUGAUUGCACAGCAGUGAAAUGAUACGAGGCCAGCAGAAGGCUCCCAGGGAUGGCUCCAGGCUGAGCCCUGCAGGGCCCUCGGAGGGGUAGAGUCCACGCUGCGGCCGGCGGGUCUGCAUGGAGCCACCCUUGCCCUGUGGCGCUGCUGUGCCACCUGAGAGAGGAGGACACCUGAAUCUUGUCUUCCCCUCCAGUGAGGCCUUGAUUUCCCCCGGGAAGGAGAUGGACAGACCUUUGUCCCAGUGCUCCGGAGGCAGAGCUGGUGUGGACCCAGCCUUGUGUGCAGGGAGCACACUCGGGGAACUCAGAAAGCGGCCCACUUGUCACGGUGCAGCCAGUUUGUGGCCCUGUUUCAAGGAGAAAGCUGAAGGAAAGGCGGAGAACCCACCAGGCCUCCCAGCUAAUCACCCAGGCCUGAAAUCAGACCCAUCUGCCACCCAGCUCCUCAGUGCUGGAGGCCGCAGAGGAGACUGGCGCGAGUCCCCUCAGAGCCAGCCGCAAAGCUCAGCAGAGUCACGGGCACGUCACAGGAACCUGCGCCAGGCCGUCCAGCAUCAGGGGCAGGGUUGGGGACGAAAUCCCUGAAGACCCCCAGAACAACUUCAGCUGAGAAGAAACCAGAAGCUUCUACUGUACCCAGCAGUCCUGCAGCGCGGAACCCGAGCCCCUGGCCUGCCUCGUCCCGAGCGCCUCUGUUUGCCGCCCAGGCGGGCUGCCCCCUCACCGCCUCUGAUCUCCUCCCUCCGUGGCAGGGAUCCGCACCUUCGCCGGGAGCAGACAAAACAUCACGCACUGGAGCGGCCGCGCUGCUGGAAUUCCGUAGGGAGUGUAAGUGUGCGUUUUCCAGGUGCAGCGCCGCGCCAGCCUUCGGUCAUUCUGGGUAGCGAUCACCUCUCGGGUCUAGGUGAGUGUGAGAGCGGGCUGGAGCUCCGGGGAGCGGGCGCCGUGUAUGUUCCGGGCGCUGAGCACAGAGCCUGCUCGCGCUGAGACUUACUUGCAGGCCUGGGAGGACAUAUGAGCUUGGAUUUCU
rnacentral:lncRNA from 1 species